rnacentral:rRNA from 1 species
GGACCUACGGGGGGCAGCAGUGGGGGAUAUUGCACAAUGGGGGAAACCCUGAUGCAGCGACGCCGCGUGAGUGAAGAAGUAUUUCGGUAUGUAAAGCUCUCUCAGCAGGGAAGAAAAAAGACGGUACCUGACUAAGAAGCCCCGGCUAACUACGUGCCAGCAGCCGCGGUAAUACGUAGGGGGCAAGCGUUAUCCGGAUUUAUUGGGCGUAAAGGGAACGCAGGCGGCCUUUUAAGUCUGAU